CCUACGGGAGGCAGCAGUGAGGAAUAUUGGUCAAUGGGCGCGAGCCUGAACCAGCCAAGUAGCGUGAAGGAUGACUGCCCUACGGGUUGUAAACUUCUUUUAUAAAGGAAUAAAGUGAGGCACGUGUGCCGUUUUGUAUGUACUUUAUGAAUAAGGAUCGGCUAACUCCGGGCCAGCAGCCGCGGUAACACGGAGGAUCCGAGCGUUAUCCGGAUUUAUUGGGUCUAAAGGGAGCGUAGAUGGGUUGUUAAGUCAGUUGUGAAAGUUUGCGGCUCAACCGUAAAAUUGCAAUUGAUACUGGCAGUCUUGAGUACAGUUGCGGUAGGCGGCCUUCGUGGUGUAGCGGU
rnacentral:rRNA from 1 species